rnacentral:rRNA from 1 species
GGAAUUUUGCGCAAUGGGGGAAACCCUGACGCAGCAACGCCGCGUGAUUGAAGAAGCCCUUCGGGGUGUAAAGAUCUGUCAGUGGGGACGAAACUUGACGGUACCCACAGAGGAAGCAUCGGCUAACUCCGUGCCAGCAGCCGCGGUAAUACGGGGGAUGCAAGCGUUGUCCGGAAUCAUUGGGCGUAAAGAGUUCGUAGGUGGUUUGUUAAGUUAGGUGUUAAAGGCGUAGGCUCAACUUACGUAUGGCACUUGAUACUGGCAGACUUGAAUGCGGUAGAGGUAAAGGGAAUUCCUGGUGUAGCGGUGAAAUGCGUAGAUAUCAGGAGGAACAUCGGAGGCGAAAGCGCUUUACUGGGCCGUAAUUGACACUGAGGAACGAAAGCCAGGGUAGCAAAUG